rnacentral:rRNA from 1 species
UACAGAGGUCUCAAGCGUUGUUCGGAUUCAUUGGGCGUAAAGGGUGCGUAGGUGGCGGGGUCAGUCAGGUGUGAAAUCUCGGGGCUCAACCUCGAAACUGCACUUGAUACUGCCUUGCUGGAGUACUGGAGAGGAGAUUGGAAUUUACGGUGUAGCAGUGAAAUGCGUAGAUAUCGUAAGGAAGACCAGUGGCUAAGGCGAAUCUCUGGACAGUUACUGACACUGAGGCACGAAGGCCAGGGGAGCAAACGGG